rnacentral:lncRNA from 10 species
CGCCUACAUGUAUGACACAUUGUGUAUGCACGCUUUAGGAUCUAGUUUGAAGUACAAAGAAGGAUAAGACAACAGUUUGCAAAGAGCCCCUAUCAGAGCAACAUGAAUUCUGCUAAAAAUGAAACAAGAACAAACAUCAAGUUUAUGGUGAAGUUUGUGUGGAAGAGUGUGAAAUGAUUGAUGCUUUACAAAAAAUGUAUGAGGACAAUGCCCCAAAGAAAUCAUCAGUUUACAAAUGGAUAACUCAUUAUAUGAAGAGACAACACAAUGUUGAAGAUGAAGCCUGCAGCAGCAGAGACCACACCCCUAAUUUGCAAGGAAAACAUGCAUCAUGUUCAUGCCCUAAUUGAAGAGGAUUGACAAUUAACAGUGCAAUCAAUCACCAACACCAUAGACAUCUCAGUUGGUUCAGUUUGCACAAUUCUGACUGAAAAAAUACAGUUGAGCAAAUUUCUACUCAAUGGGUGCCAAAAUUGUUGCACCUAUAUCAGCUGCAGACAAGUGACGAGCUUUCAAUGAAAAUUUUAAACAAGUGGAAUCAAGCUCCUGAAGCACUUCUUUAAAGAAUUGUAACAGGAAGUGAAACAUGGCUUCACCAGUACCAUCCCGAAGACAAAGCACAACCAAAGCAACAGCUACCAAGAGUGACCCAGUCAAAAUACAAGAGCACUGGGCUAGACCAAAAGUCAUGACAACAGCUUUUUGGGCUGCUCAAAUUUGCUUACUGACUCCUAUGAGGCCAAAGAACAAUAACAUCUGCUUGUUAUGACAGUGUUUUGAGAAAGCCAAAGCGUCAGCAGCAAAAAAACCCAGGAAAGCCUACCAGAGAGUCCUUCUCCACCACAAGAAUGUUCCUGCUCAUUCCUUUCAUCAAACAAGGGCAAUUUGGGGAAUAUUUUGAUGGAAAAUCAUUAGGCAUGCACCUUACAGACCUGAUUUGUCUCCUUUUGACUUUUUUUUUGUCUCCUAAUAUUAAAAAAAUUGUAAAGGAAACCCAUUUUUCUUCAGUUAAUAAUGGAAAAAGGACUGAACUGACAUGGUUCAAUUCCCAGGAUGCUCAGUUCUUUGGGGAUGGUCUAAAUGGUUGGUGUCCUUGCUUACAAAAGUAUCUUGACCUUAAUGGAGCUUAUGUUAAGAAAGUUUAUAUUCUUUAUUUUUAUCUCUUAAUUCGAUUUUUCCAUGAACAUUUUGAAGUCCCC